rnacentral:rRNA from 1 species
UGGGGAAUUUUGGACAAUGGGCGCAAGCCUGAUCCAGCCAUGCCGCGUGCGGGAAGAAGGCCUUCGGGUUGUAAACCGCUUUUGUCAGGGAAGAAAUCUUCUGAGUUAAUACCUCGGGAGGAUGACGGUACCUGAAGAAUAAGCACCGGCUAACUACGUGCCAGCAGCCGCGGUAAUACGUAGGGUGCAAGCGUUAAUCGGAAUUACUGGGCGUAAAGCGUGCGCAGGCGGUUUUGUAAGACAGAGGUGAAAUCCCCGGGCUCAACCUGGGAACUGCCUUUGUGACUGCAAGGCUUGAGUGCGGCAGAGGGGGAUGGAAUUCCGCGUGUAGCAGUGAAAUGCGUAGAUAUGCGGAGGAACACCGAUGGCGAAGGCAAUCCCCUGGGCCUGCACUGACGCUCAUGCACGAAAGCGUGGGGAGCAAACAGGAUUAGAUACCCUGGUAGUCCACGCCCUAAAACGAUGUCAACUGGUUGUUGGGAAGGUUCCUUCUCAGUAAGCGUAGCUAACGCGUGAAGUUGACCGCCUGGGGAGUACGGCCGCAAGGUUGAAACUCAAAUGAAUUGAC